rnacentral:rRNA from 1 species
UACGUAGGGGGCAAGCGUUGUCCGGAUUCAUUGGGCGUAAAGAGCUCGUAGGCGGCUUGGCAAGUCGGGUGUGAAACCUCCAGGCUCAACCUGGAGACGCCACCCGAUACUGCCAUGGCUAGAGUCCGGUAGGGGACCACGGAAUUCCUGGUGUAGCGGUGAAAUGCGCAGAUAUCAGGAGGAACACCAAUUGCGAAGGCAGCUCGCUGGGACGUUACUGACGCUGAGGAGCGAAAGCAUGGGGAGCGAACAGG